rnacentral:rRNA from 1 species
GACGAACGCUGGCGGCGCGCUUAACACAUGCAAGUCGAGCGAGAACCAGGCCUUCGGGCCUGGGGAAAGCGGCGAACGGGUGAGUAACACGUGGGUAACCCACCCUUGGUACCGGGAUAGCCCGGGGAAACCCGGAUUAAUACCGGAUGGCCCAACAGCUCUUAGGGGCGGUUGGAAAAGGUAGCUUCGGCCUCCGACCAAGGACGGGCCCGCGGCGGAUUAGCUUGUUGGUGGGGUAAUGGCCUACCAAGGCGACGAUCCGUAGCGGUCUGAGAGGACGACCAGCCACACUGGGACUGAGACACGGCCCAGACUCCUACGGGAGGCAGCAGUGGGGAAUCUUGCGCAAUGGGCGAAAGCCUGACGCAGCGACGCCGCGUGGGGGAAG